CCAUAGACCUAAUAUCCAUGGACGUCGCGUUAGAGAGAGAAGUCGAGAGAACGAAUGAGAUGGAACAUCGGAUGGAAGUCUGUCAACUCUCUUGAUUUAUUGCCCUAGAGAAAGAGAACAAUAUACAUCUCUUUCAACUCGAAGAGUUGAACGUUAAAUCGUUAUUUCAAAUUUGAAUUUAAAGCAAAGAAUUGUGAAUACUAGCUCUACAAAUUUUGCUACUUACGAAGGCAGUGUACUUUUAUUUUGAGAGAAUCUAGUGAGAAGAAGAGACUUUUUUUAGUGGAAUUUUGCUACUAAAUUUAUUUUGUUGGGAAAUAAAGACUUUCAAAUUUUUUGUUCUUUUGAGAACAUCCAUCAUGCCUCAAAGUUUAUGAAAACGAAGGGACUAACUGGAAAACUGCGUCAGUUGAAGAAUCUCCAGCAAUAUAUCAUUUUUUCCCAUCAUGAAUAAAAACAAUAUUUUCAAGAGAAGAUAAUAUCAUGUAAAGAAGCCUCAAUAUCAUCUAUGCAGUUAUGGCAAAUUUAGAAUUUCUACAAAUAAUAAUAAUAAUAGGCAAAUAUUAUGGAGGUAAAUUUUUUAUGGCUGCUUUAAUCUAUUAAAUUUGAUUCUAUUCGAAAUAGAUUGAAAGGUGAAAUAGAUCAUGAGUUGGAGAAUGGAAUAGUAUAGAACCUCAAUGCUCAAUCCUAAUGGUAUUUCGAUAAUCAUGGAUGAAUGAAUGUUCUCUUUUAUCUAAU